GCACCCGUAGCUCAGCUGGAUAGAGCGCUGCCCUCCGAAGGCAGAGGUCACAAGUUCGAAUCUUGUCGGGUGUACCA
rnacentral:tRNA from 1 species